rnacentral:lncRNA from 10 species
AGGAUCUGGGCACCUUCCUUUUAAGCGUAAUCAAGAAAAAUAGGGCCCAUCUCUGAGUCUCUAUGGGAGGAUAGGAACCUAACUAGGAUAAGUGCCAAUUAGAGAAUAGAAACCAUCUAAUCACUUUGACCAACUUCCUUCUUAAAAUCCUUCAGUACUUUUCCAUAAGCUCACCCUAGCAUUUAAAAUUCCUGCCUCCUUUUGUUUCAGCAGAGCUGAGUUUAAUCUCUAUCCUUUGUAACAAUAGUUUUGACCCCUACUGCAUUCGUCUUGGAAAAGUGUUCUUUGCCUGGUAACUCCAUCUGGUAUAAGAUUUCUCUGUCCUUAUCUAUGUCAUCGACUUUGAUUUUUAUUGUUCAUAAAAAUCAUCUGAGUUUGCCCAUCCCCAAAAAGUCUGGUCCAGUAGGUUUGAGUACGAAGACGUUAUCUGCAUUUGUUAAGCACCCUGGGUGAUAUAUGCAGGACAAAGAGAGACCAGACGUUGAGAAACAUUGGUUUUCAUGGUCCUACCAUGCAUUACAUUAAGGAGUAUAUACCAUCUGGGAUAAGUCACAAAGACGCAGGAGCUCACAGGCCAAGCAUUGGUGAAAGAGGACACUGGAGGGGAUGCUGAAAAGAUCGGGAUCCAGGAGAAAGAAGGAGAAGUGGGAGCAGCAGAGGCCUGACAGACCCACAGAAUUGGACAGAGUGGCAGCUGUUCUCUGGGCAGGGCUGAGUGAAAAUGCCUGGAAAAGGAAGGGGGUGGAAGAAAUCCAAGGCCAUUUGUGCUGCUGGGAGUCGUCACCAGCGGGAGACCCAGCAGGCUGACUUCCCACUGCACUCUACAGGGAAACACAGAGAACAGGGGAAAGAGAGAAGGAAGAGAAGGCCCUGAAGUUAAACAGUGUGCAUUGCAAAGGGAUUUUCAUCAGGCAAAGGACUUUAGAUUUUAUCCUGUAAAGACUCACUGAAGAAUUUUAAGCAAAGGAGUGACACAAUCAGAUUGCCAGUUUAAAGAGUUAUCUGGAAUCAGUGUGGAGAAGAGUUUGGAGAAAGGGAAUAAAGAGGCAGGGAAAUCAGAGCUUCUGACAAAAACCUGAGGUUUGUCAAAGAUGUGGCAUACAUACACCAUGGAAUACUAUGCAGCCAUAAAAAAUGAUGAGUUCAUGUCCUUUGUAGGGACAUGGAUGAAAUUGGAAAUCAUCAUUCUCAGUAAACUAUCGCAGGGACAAAGGGCCAGGCACCGCAUGUUCUCACUCACAGGUGGGAAUUGAACAAUGAGAGCACAUGGACACAGGAAGAGGAACAUCACAGUCUGGGGACUGUUGUGGGGUGGGGGGAGGGGGGAGGGAUGGCAUUAGGAGAUAUACCUAAUGCUAAAUGAUGAGUUGAUGGGUGCAGCACCCCAGCAUGGCACAUGUAUACAUAUGUAACUAACCUGCACAUUGUGCACAAGUACCCUAAAACUUAAAGUAUAAUAAUAAUAAUUAAAAAAAAUUAGAGAGCUAGACAAAUGCAGAUUUCUUCUAAGUGAAAAAAAAACACAAAUGUAUGUUUUUAAAAAUUAAUCAUUGUUCACACUCUUCUGAGUGUUGGGCCCAUUUAAAAAUCUCUUUUUGUUUCUGUCCAUGGAUUAUUAAAGCAGCUGACUUUUAUUUUUAAUUCAUUAAUGUCUAGGAUGUUAAUCUCUUCUACCCA